UACGGGGGGGGCAAGCGUUGUUCGGAAUUACUGGGCGUAAAGGGCUCGUAGGCGGCCAGCUAAGUCGGAUGUGAAAUCCCCAGGCUUAACCUGGGAACUGCAUCCGAUACUGGAUGGCUUGAAUCCGGGAGAGGGAUGCAGAAUUCCAGGUGUAGCGGUGAAAUGCGUAGAUAUCUGGAGGAACACCGGUGGCGAAGGCGGCAUCCUGGACCGGCACUGACGCUGAGGCGCGAAAGCCAGGGGAGCAAACGGG
rnacentral:rRNA from 1 species